ACUCAAACACACUCUUCAAUCAAUAUAAAUAAGAAUUCCCACCAUAAUUUAAAUUUCAACGGCCGCGGUAUCCUAACCGUGCAAAGGUAGCAUAAUCACUUGCCAUUAAUUGUGGGCUAGAUGAAGGACUAACGAAAUUUGAAUUUCUUUUUUUUUUCAUUAAAAUUUAUCUUUUAAUUAAAAUUGCUGAAUUAGUUCAAAAACCAAAAACCCCUAAAACCUUUUUUUUAAAUUAUUUUUUUUUUUUAAUAUUUUGGCGCCCCCUAAAUAUUCUCCCCUAUUGCAAUAACUCUCUCCACUUACCCUCCUCAAUAUCUCCUAACAAGCUCCCCCUUGAUAACACCUAUUCCCCUUUAAAAUCCUUAUCAAUAAAUAGUUUUCACUCUCAUAUUGCUAUGAAUUUUAACGCAAAAUCUACAUAAAGA
rnacentral:rRNA from 1 species